rfam:Macrostomum lignano uti_cns_0005694, whole genome shotgun sequence.
AAAACGGCCCUUUUCAGGGCCACCACAUUUAUGUGAUGUCUUGUUCG